rnacentral:rRNA from 1 species
AUUGAACGCUGGCGGCAUGCCUUACACAUGCAAGUCGAACGGCAGCGGGGACCUCGGUCCGCCGGCGGGUGGCGAACGGGUGAGUAAAGCAUCGGAACGUACCCGGAAGUGGGGGGUAACGUAGCGAAAGUUACGCUAAUACCGCAUAUUCUGUGAGCAGGAAAGAGGGGGAUCUUCGGACCUCUUGCUUUCGGAGCGGCCGAUGUCAGAUUAGCUAGUUGGUGAGGUAAGGGCUCACCAAGGCGACGAUCUGUAGCGGGUCUGAGAGGAUGAUCCGCCACACUGGAACUGAGACACGGUCCAGACUCCUACGGGAGGCAGCAGUGGGGAAUUUUGGACAAUGGGCGCAAGCCUGAUCCAGCCAUGCCGCGUGAGUGAAGAAGGCCUUCGGGUUGUAAAGCUCUUUCGGCCGGGAAGAAAUCGCAUGGGUUAAUACCCUGUGCGGAUGACGGUACCGGCAUAAGAAGCACCGGCUAACUACGUGCCAGCAGCCGCCGUAA